rnacentral:rRNA from 1 species
AGUGAACGCUGGCGGUAGGCCUAACACAUGCAAGUCGAAUGGCAGCACAGUAAGAGCUUGCUCUUACGGGUGGCGAGUGGCGGACGGGUGAGGAAUACAUCGGAAUCUACUUUCUCGUGGGGGAUAACGUAGGGAAACUUACGCUAAUACCGCAUACGACCUACGGGUGAAAGCAGGGGAUCUUCGGACCUUGCGCGAUUGAAUGAGCCGAUGUCGGAUUAGCUAGUUGGCGGGGUAAAGGCCCACCAAGGCGACGAUCCGUAGCUGGUCUGAGAGGAUGAUCAGCCACACUGGAACUGAGACACGGUCCAGACUCCUACGGGAGGCAGCAGUGGGGAAUAUUGGACAAUGGGCGCAAGCCUGAUCCAGCCAUACCGCGUGGGUGAAGAAGGCCUUCGGGUUGUAAAGCCCUUUUGUUGGGAAAGAAAAGCAGCAGGUUAAUACCCCGCUGUUCUGACGGUACCCAAAGAAUAAGCACCGGCUAACUUCGUG